rnacentral:rRNA from 1 species
UAGGGAAUCUUCGGCAAUGGGGGGAACCCUGACCGAGCAACGCCGCGUGAGUGAAGAAGGUUUUCGGAUCGUAAAGCUCUGUUGUUAAGGAAGAACGAGUGUGAGAAUGGAAAGUUCAUACUGUGACGGUACUUAACCAGAAAGGGACGCCUAACUACGUGCCAGCAGCCGCGGUAAUACGUAGGUUCCGAGCGUUGUCCGGAUUUAUUGGGCGUAAAGCGAGCGCAGGCGGUUAGAUACGUCUGAAGUUAAAGGCAGUGGCUCACCCAUUGUAUGCUUUGGAAACUGUUUCACUGGAGUGCAGGAGGGGAGCGUGGAAUUCCAUGUGUAGCGGAGAAAUGCGUAGAUAUAUGAAGGAACACCGGUGGCGAAAGCGGCUCUCUGGUCUGUAACUGUCGCUGUGGCUCGAAAGCGUGGGGAGCGAACAGG